UGAUGAUGUGCAUCAACAAAGUGACAAUAUUUUCCUGUAGAAUUUGAUGCCGCUGAUGAAUGUGGUUCAGCUACAUUCUCAACAACAGGAGUAUCGUCAUCCCCGUUCUGGUGACCCUUCUCUUUAUUAAUGUGCCCAAAUCCUGCAAUAUUCAGCUUUGACAUAACCUUUGCCGCAAAUUUGGAAGGCUGAGAGAUGUCAAAUGAAGAUUCAUCCUUCUCAGAGCUCUCUG
rnacentral:misc_RNA from 1 species